rnacentral:rRNA from 1 species
AACGGGGCUAAACCAUGCACCGAAGCUGCGGCAGCGACGCUGAUGCGUUGUUGGGUAGGGGAGCGUUCUGUAAGCCUGCGAAGGUGGCCUGUGAGGGUUGCUGGAGGUAUCAGAAGUGCGAAUGCUGACAUAAGUAACGAUAAAGCGGGUGAAAAGCCCGCUCGCCGGAAGACCAAGGGUUCCUGUCCAACGUUAAUCGGGGCAGGGUGAGUCGACCCCUAAGGCGAGGCCGAAAGGCGUAGUCGAUGGGAAACGGGUUAAUAUUCCCGUACUUGGUGUUACUGCGAAGGGGGGACGGAGAAGGCUAUGUUGGCCGGGCGACGGUUGUCCCGGUUUAAGCGUGUAGGUGUGUGUUCCAGGUAAAUCCGGUUCACUUUAACACUGAGGCGUGAUGACGAGGCACUACGGUGCUGAAGCAACAAAUGCCCUGCUUCCAGGAAAAGCCUCUAAGCAUCAGGUAACAUCAAAUCGUACCCCAAACCGACACAGGUGGUCAGGUAGAGAAUACCAAGGCGCUUGAGAGAACUCGGGUGAAGGAACUAGGCAAAAUGGUGCCGUAACUUCGGGAGAAGGCACGCUGACA